rnacentral:lncRNA from 1 species
ACCUGCACGCAAAUCCUAUACUGCCUAUAAUCAGAAUCUUUGCGCCUGAUAUGAGUGAUGCUUGCUCCUUUCCUGACCCGGCCUGCCCUUCCCCACCGCUUCUCAAUUAGGGCAGGGCACCAUCAGAUGGGCCACACAUUGCCACCUGCCAUACCUGCAUCAGCACCCCAACUCCUAGUCCCAGCCUGAUUAUACAAUGCACCAUGUGCCAACACUCCAUACAAACGCUGGAAACACAAACAGCCAACUGCCCCACAGCCACCUGGACCCACAUAUCCCUCCCCCCCCCCCGCCUCCUUAGGGGCACCAUCAGAUGGGCCACACAUUGCCACCUGCCAUACCUGCAUCAGCACCCCAACUCCUAGUCCCAGCCUGAUUAUACAAUGCACCAUGUGUCAGCACUCCAUACAAAUGCUGGAAACACAAACAGCCUACUGCCCCACAGCCACCUGGACCCACAUAUCCCUCCCCCCCCCGCCUCCUUUGGGGCACCAUCAGAUGGGCCAUGCAUUGCCACCUGCCAUACCUGCAUCAGCACCCCAACUCCUAGUCCCAGCCUGAUUAUACAAUGCACCAUGUGCCAACACUCCAUACAAAUGCUGGAAACACAAACAGCCAACUGCCCCACAGCCACGUGGACCCACAUAUCCCUCCCCCCCCCCCCUGCCUCCUUAGGGGCACCCACAGGUGGAUGGGCCACGCAUUGCCAUCUGCCAUACCUGCAUCAGCACCCCAACUCCUAGUCCCAGCCUGAUUAUUCAAUGCACCAUGUGCCAACACUCCAUACAAAUGCUGGAAACACAAACAGCCAACUGCCCCACAGCCACGUGGACCCACAUAUCCCUCUCCCCCCCCCCGCCUCCUUAGGGGCACCAUCAGAUGGGCCACACAUUGCCACCUGCCAUACCUGCAUUGGCACCCCAACUCCUAGUCCCAGCCUGAUUAUACAAUGCACCAUGUGCCAACACUCCAUACAAAUGCUGGAAACACAAACAGCCAACUGCCCCACAGCCACCUGGACCCACAUAUCCCUCCCCCCCCGCCUCCUUAGGGGCACCCACAGGUGGGCCACACAUUGCCACCUGCCAUACCUGCAUCGGCACCCCAACUCCUAGUCCCAGCCUGAUUAUUCAAUGCACCAUGUGCCAACACUCCAUACAAACGCUGGAAACACAAACAGCCUACUGCCCCACAGCCACCUGGUGUCACGCCAGGGCGUGGGACCGGACAUGGCGUGGGACCGUGCCGGGAAAGCUGUGAAACCCGGGGUCAGAACCAGUGCGGCUGUCGAGUUGUGAGUCAGCACGUUACUAAGCAGGCACAACUCCCGUGUGCCGAUUACCGUAGCAAUGCUCUGUUUGGCCCUAACUGCCCGUAAGAGCUUGUGUGUUUGAGUGAGCUGGGUUUGUGCUGCUAGGUUAUGCGGAGUGAGGAAGUUGCGUUAUCCGCCAGUCUGACGCGCGGAGGCGGGCGGAAUGAGGCGGAGACAGGUUUAUCCGCCCCGGUAGCUCAAGACAAGUCGUCUUGUCUUGAACUAUCUGGUACUACUUGCUGGUUAGUGAUUUCAGAGACAACGACCAUUCUACAAUACUCGUGGAUAGCACGAAGUGCACAGACAGAGCCGCCUCUGUAACUUUGAGGAGACAAGAACCGAGCACCCUUGAUACGCACAGUAGUCUACGCGCUUAAGAGAGCAGUAAGCCACGUAGCACUCAGUUCAAGACAAGACCGCGAGGCGCCGCGCGCCCGCAUCCUGCUCUCAUUUUGGUUUCUUGGCGGUCACACCGCGCGCAAGCACAAGUAAGCAUUCGGGUACUCUACCUGGAGAUUACCAAGCCAUUAGCCGGGGCCUCUCAGGCUCCGCGCUAGCGUUCAAGGAUUAGCUUCACCGGCCCGACGGGGUUGCGCUACAGCAAGCUACUUCCAGCCUCCCAGACGUCAUUGCACACCGGUUCUAUUGCUUAGGUGUUGCGAGACAUUCUUCAGUUCUGCUUGGGUGACGAGAGUUGCGGGCGAAUUGCUGCACGUUACGGAGCAAGCAUCGUGAUAGGCCAUCACGCCUGUUUGUUUCAGAGCUGCUGCAUAUUAACCAGCUUCCUACGCCACACCUUUUGACUUUCUUCGCAGUGGGCAGAGAGGACCGAGAAGCUGCUCCAGCUACGUCGUCUCACGACCGUCCCUCUGGCUCACGAACCGUCUCACGGGAACGCGUCACUUGGGACCCUCCCAAGCAUCUGCAGCAGGCACGAGGCCGCACCCUUGAACAGGAGCUCCGCGAGCGCAGCCGUGGCCGCAGUGACUCCGAGCGCAGGCGCAGCCGCAGCCCCAACCACAUCAAGAGCAGGCGCAGUCGCAGCCGCAGCCGCAGCCCUAACCCCGGCGCCGCGCGCCCAGGCGCCGCUGCAGCACCCGCACGCUCGCUGACCUCCAGCGAGCGCGCCGCCGUGCUUGCUCUGCUGGUCUCAACAGCUGCUCCCCAGCAGCCGCACCUUGUCGCAUCAGACCCCGACGCGAGGGUGCUUGACACCGACCCGUCCUUCCGGCCACUCCUGCAGCCGGCGGACGGCGAGAAGUGCCUGCGCCUCUGCAUCACGCUCUUGGACGGCGCUCCGCCCCUUGAGCUUGUGGAAGGCUGCCUCAUUCACGGUUGGCAGUCCAAGCACACCACAUCACAGUGCGACGUGCUCCGGCGCGCACGUGCUGCCUACCUAGAGUACGCAGCGUCGCGCCCCGCGGCGGCACCCCGGCGUUAGUCAGCUACAGCGUGCAGCCCGUGUGCAGCGGCUCAGCAGCCUACUGCCACGUCGUCUGCGCGCUACCUGCGGGCUCCGAGACCUCCCAGGUCCCCACACCCGAGCCAGUGCUACGUCUACGAGGCUACCGUACUACUAAGUGACUCUGAGUCACCGGCUUCCAGCAUUCCAAGAGUCCGAGACAUCACGAGCCUCUCAGGCUGGCGCAACGGGAGCUGCACAACCUUCUCCGUCUUCUGCCGCCGGUGCAUCCUGAGCCAAGACCUGACGAAGCAGCCGACCGGCCCGUAGGGGGCACGCGGUCGGGCACGCAGUAUUCAGGGAGUCGCCAGCCUUCACCAGCCAAGCAGUCGGCGGGCUCCAGGCAGCGCAGUCUUUCCGUUCCACGCCAGUCUCCGGCCAAGGCGACAGCUUCUGCGGAUCGCCAAGCCGGUAACAACAGCGGUGCAGGGCCCUCGGCCCCGCGCAUUAGACCAACAGUAGACAACAGCAGCGGCAGCCAGCGCGCCGGUUCACGCACCGACAGCCGGCACACUCAGUCUACCGGCCAGGCGCCUCCACCGCCUGUCGCCGCGCCGCUCUUACUUCAGGCAGCGCCCCCGCUCCCCGCGGCCGCGCCACCUCCGCCACCUGCACCCCUCGCGUUGCAGGUGCCACCGCAGGCACUCCCAGUGCCGCAGUUGGCUGUGCACACCUUCUCCGACUCAGACGACGAACGGAGCAUGAGCAAGCAGUUCAAACCCAUGGAUCCCUGGGAUCACCAUCAGGUGCCUCCGCUCGGCAAGCAGCUCAGAGAGGACCUGAACAGCGCGCGCAAGUACCACGGCAACUGCGCGUAUGAUGCGGUUCCGGCUGACGAGGCGCUGCGCCUCAUCGACGCCGGCCCCGACGUCAACACCCCGUACCACUUCUGGUGGUCCAAGGAGCGUCCCACGCUCCAGGCGCGCGCGCUUGCCCACCACCUUGCGGCCAACCCCGCGCCAGGCGGCCAGCAACCGCCGCCCCUGUGCGGCCACCACGUGCUGGACUUCUACAUCCAGCUCCUGCACGACCAUUUCGCCCUGGACCGCGCUAGCUACUACGAGGACCGCUACAACAGGCUGCAGCAGGAGGAUGAGCAGACGCCGUCUUCGCUGCUGGCUGAGAUGCGGCAGUGCGAGCCGCACCUGCACGCCAUGCCGCAGGACAAGUUCGCGAUGGACUUCCUGCGCAAGCUGCACCCUCGCAUUGUGACCAACGUCAGGAACCGCUGGGACAUCAUCCCCGUCACCAGCUGGUACGGCCGCCUCUCCGACAUCGCCAAGGACGCCGACGUGGUUUGGGACAACCACCGGCGCGAGGCUAGCUAUCAGAAGCGCAUCACCGCGGUCUCUGCAGCUGCCAGCGCGCCCUCGGCUAACCCGAGCACCUCGGCGCCAGCCGCGCGCAGCUCCAAGCCCUCGUCCAGCUCCAGCGGCCCCGCCGCGGCACCCAAGGCCUCGUCCAGCUACUACUGCCAGCACCACGGCGCCAACCGCUCGCACAACACGGAGAACUGCAACGUGCUGCAGAGCAAGCGGUCCACUGCGCUGGCCACCAGCUCCGGCCCGCCGCCCUCGCAGCAGCAGGAGCUGGCGCGCAUGUUCAACCAGUUCGCAGCUCAGUUUGGCUUCAACGGCUACUCGGCGGCGGCUACCAGCACUGCUGCUCCCGGUGCGGCGACCAAGUACCAGGCGGAGGCGGACCGGCGCGGCGCCCGCGGCCGCGGCUAUGGCGGCGGCAGCGGUGGUGGCGGCGGCGGUGACGCGGCCGCCCGCGCAGGAGACGUGGAGCGCUGUGACUACUGCCGGCUGUCUCACCCCGGCAUCUGCUACGUCAAGUACCCCCACCGUGCUCCGCAGAACUACCGGCCACGUGCGCAACACCUGCAGGACCUGUUCGCCUACAACCUCAGCAGGGCUCCCCUGCCUGACACCAAGGCCGGCAACGAGCAGGCGGGCGGCACCAAGCAGGCGGCUGGCAACGAGAAGAACGCCGCCGCGGCGGUGACCGGCUACGACGACGGCGAGGACGAGCUGUACUACGGCUACGUGACCGCCCUGGCGGACGAGAGCCCAGCAUCCAGCAGCAGCGCUUCGGCCUCCCAGGCCGCCGGUCGCCGCGGCUACUGGUUCCUCCACGGCGGUGACAACUGCGUUGCGUCCACCUGCAGCCAGCCCUGGGAUGAGCCCGACCUCGCCUGCCUCUCGGUGGCCUGCGCCGAGCUCAGCCCGGACUCCUGCGCAUGCGGCGCCCUCGUCACUGGCCUGUGCGACAAGCUGAUGAUGGAGUGCGAGGCUCCUGAGGGCGGCCCCGGGGGCUCCCAGCCCGCGCACGCCGCCGAGCCGCUGCUCGCGGCGAUGGCCACCCUCAAGCAGCAGCCGGCGCCGGUGGGCUUCCAGCCGGCUCCCGCCGGCACGCCGGCGGAGCCGCCGCAGCAGCUUCUGAGCCCGUCACUGGCGCCGCACAACCAGGUGGUUUCCUCCGCAGUCACGCUGCUGCAGGCCAAGGCUGACCGUCUUCAGAAGGACAUCAGCCAGAUGGUGAGCGAGUUGGCCGGCGAGACCCGCUACCAGCUCAUGAUGGUCGCGGCGGCCUCCCAGGCCGCUGAGCGUGCAAGUGACAAUCCGCCCGCGGCCACGUGCGCCACCUGCACGCGUGAGAUUGGCGUGCCUGUCAACUUCUGGACCGACACGCCCUGCAUGUACACGGUCGCCAACGCCCCCCUGGGCGGCGCGGCCGAGGGCUACAAGCUGUCACCAGACUUCCGCCCCAUCACCAGCGUGCCACCGGACGAGUUCACCCGCCAGCUUGAGGAGAAACCCGCACUGAAGGCCUACUUCGACAGCAACCCGGAGAUGUUCUACUGCAACGUCGGUGAUGUGGCUGUGGGCUUCGCGCGACCGCGCAACCAACCUCUGCACGCCCUGCCCCAGGUGCUGCGUGACCACAGCGCCAGCGUCAACAUCGUGACGUCGUCCUUCGUGCGCCUGCACCGUCUGCCGACUCGACCAACCACUUCCCGUCUGGCUACAGCUUCCAGCAGCUCUGAGCGACAGCAGCUGGAGCUGGUGCACGAGCAGCUGGUGGUGAGCAUCAAGCCUGGUUCGGCCUUCAACGUGCGCAUCCCCAUGACCAAGACCCUGGUCGUAGGAGACACACACCUGUUUGACGUGCUCCUGGGCAACGAGCAGAUGAAGCCGGUCGCCGACUAUGUCACCGUGCUGCCGAAGGCCAUGCUGCACUACUUCCCCAACGUGCUGGAGUUCCCCGACUGCAUCGUCAGCCUGCCACUGCACAGCGCCAACGGCGUGCGGGCGGCCCUGGCCUCCGUCGAGAACUAUGCAGCCUGCUGCACCAGCCUCUGCGACCCCGUCGCGAAGCUGGGGGGGGGAUGCAACUCUCCGACUGCGCUCGGCAACAGCACCAGCAGCAGCGGCACCGUGCCCGGCAUCGCCAGCAGCAGCACCGAUGUGCCCGCACCCUGCCAGGCGCCCAGCGGCACCGCGCCCAGCACCGCCGGCGGCACUGGCGUGAUCAGCGGCAGCGUGAGCGCAGACUGUGCGGCCUACCUUGACCGCCUCCUCGCAGCCCGCCUCGCCGCCGGGACGGAGCUCACACCAGCUGAGACGGAGGCACUGGAGCAGGCACUGAUUGCAGCAACGGGGAAAUCCUCCAGCAUUCACUGCGACCUGAAACCCCACAACUACCUGCUGGAUAAGCCGGUGCUGCCGACGCCCAAGCCCGCGGUGCUCAGCUGGCGCACGCGGGGCAGGCGCCGGGUGCGGUGGUACUGGCGGCAGUCCCUCGACCAGACCAGCACUGACGGCGACUCCCAGGCUACGCAGUCCCACUGCUCCAGCGGCGGCAUCAAGUCCGAGGCCCCACUGCACACCGCCAGCGCCCAGUCCGACGUCCAUCCGCCCACCGGCAUCUCCGACGUCCCUCCGCCCACCGGCAUCUCCGAGCCCAGCACCGUCAUCGGCAACGCUACUGCGGCUGAUGCCGCCCACGCCGCUGGCGGCAGCGCCAAGGCUCCCGCAGUGGGCUGGGCAUCCAAGGCCGCUUCGGCUCUGAGCCAGGCGGCCGUCAAGGGCAUGAGCUACCUGACUCUCCCUGGUCUCCAUGGCCGCCAGCGUCGGCGCCGUGGGAGGCACUUUCAGCGGAGCACCGGGUCUGCAGGCUCUCCAGCACCUGGAGGCCGUGCAGGCGGCGCUCAGCACCGCUCCACCACACCUUCGCGCGCGCUGGGACGCUGCGCACCAACCUCCGUCCUCAGUCAGCAGCGCGGGCCCCCCGGGCCUCUCGCACGUGCUGGCCAGCGUCGAGUCGUUCACCUUUGAUGGCAAGAUGGCGGCUGCCGCCUCCGAGCGCUACGAGAAGGACAAGGACGGCGGCUGGGUGUGGGGCAACGCUGUCGGCAUGACGCCUGAGCACGCCGCGCUACUACGGGCCACGGUGCGCACCCGCAAGUCCUCUGCCUUCGCCUACAGCAUGGAGGAGCUUCCCGGUUACUCUGGUGAGCUUGGCGCCUUCCGUCUGGACCUGACCACCGACAAGCCUGUCAUCCAGUCACCGCGCCGCUACAGCCCCAAGGAGGUCGAGGUCAUCAAGCAGAAGAGUGCUGAGCUUCUCAAGCCCGGCAUCUGUGUUGAGUGGACAGGCCCCACCCAGGUGGCCGUCAACCCUGUCAUCGCCGCCAAGCGGGACGAGGCCACCGGGCUCUGGACAGGAGCACGCAUGGCGCAAGACUACCGCCCAGUCAACAAGGUGACCAAGCCCGACAAGUACGGCCUACACCGCCCAGAAGACAUCUUCCAGAGCGUGGAGAAGGCGCGUUUCUUCAGCAAGCUCGACAUGCGUCAGGGUUUCCUUCAGAUCUCCAUUCACAAGGACGACUACGGCAAGACGGCGUUCUGGUGCGGCAAUCGUCUGCUCGCCUACACCCGCAUGCCCUACGGUCUCAAGAACGCGUCCGCCGCCUUUCAGCGCCGCAUGGACCACGAGCUGCGGCGUGCCGGCCUGGACAAGGUAGCUGUGGCCUUCAUUGACGACGUACUGAUUGCUACCGAGACCGCUGAGGAGCACGUCGAGGCAGUAGCAAGAGUGCUUGACACGCUCGCAGCGUGCGGGCUCCGAGCCCAUCCUGACAAGUCCAUCUUCGGCGCCGACGUUAUCGAGUACCUUGGCCACAACCUCUCCACCUUCGGCAUCUCGCCUCAUCAGGCCAAGGUCGCCGCAAUCUUGGCCCUCCAGCCGCCCAAGAACGUCUCGGAGCUUCGUACGCAGCUGGGCUUCAUCAACUACUACCGCUGCUACAUCCCGAACAUGAGUGAGAUCGCCGCGCCGCUGAAUGAGCUGCUCAAGAACGACGCGCGCUGGCGGUGGGGGCUGGAGCAGGAGGAAGCGCACCGCGCGCUAAAGGAGACCUUCAUGCGGCCCGAUGUCGUGUUGCGCCGCAUUGACUACAGCCGUCAACUCAUUCUCCACACCGACUUCUCCAACAAGGGCAUCGCCGCGGUCCUCGGCCAGCGCGAUGAUGAAGGUCGUGAGUACAUGUGCGCCUGCAUCUCCCGCUCCCUCAACAAGCACGAGGCCAACUACAGCUCCUACAAGGGCGAGAUGCUGGCGGUCGUGUGGGCGGUCAAGAUGCUACGCCAUCACCUUAUCGGCUCCGAUGUUCCCUUCAAGCUGGUGACUGACCAUCAGCCCCUCCUCUACCUCAUGAGCUCCGAGGGCCUCACAGGCCAAUAUGCCCGCUUCGCCCUCGUCCUGCAAGAGUACAACUUUGAGGUCGAGCACCGCCCCGGGAUCAAGCAUCAGAAUGCGGACGGGCUCUCGCGCAACCCUCGGCCCAGCACCGUGGACGGCUCUGGUGCCCGGCUUGACGAAGACGAUGACGACGGGCCGGCGACGCUACCGGCGGUGUCAACAAGUGAGGAGCCGCCAACCGCCGCUGCCGUGGCUGCCAGCCUCUCAGCUUGCGAGGUCGUCCACGUCGCCCUUGCAACCGCCGUCCCGCUGGCGCCCUUCUCUUCUGACUUCAUGCCCAGCACCGAGGAGGCCAUCUCCGGAUGGAACGGCUGGGGCUACGAGGCAGCCGCACCGCCGCCUGACGCUCCCGAUCGUCAGGGCAAGGCUGCCCGAGCAUUGCUGCGCAGCGCAGCACUCGAGUGGCGAGCGGCCAGCAAACUCCGGCGGCAAGGCAGUGGCUCACCCUCGGUGGCCCCCUCACCGUCGCCUGUGGCCGUCAGCGCCUCCGUGUGGUUCGACAACGCCCUCCGCCAAGGCGUCACGUUGUGGGAGCCUACCGGCGGUCUGGGUGGGGCCCUUGAUGCAGUCCUGCUCAACGGCAUUCCAGUCAGGCGCUACCACUACUCAGAUUCUUCACGUGAGGCGCGCUCCGCGCUUCACCACCGCCUCUCAGGCAUCACGGACCUGCGGCCGGAGCUAUUCCCUGCCUCCGCUUGGGACCAGACGCUUCUCUCUCUCCCGCAUGGUGCCUCGCACGUGGCGGAUGCGGACUUGCGGCUGCUGGGACAGGGCGGCGAGCCGAUUCUCAUUGCAGCUCAGUGGGAGUCAGGGGACGUCGUCACACAGGCUAACGUACUCAGCUUGGCGAGCCGCGCUCGUCAGCUGCUGGGCGAGCAGCGCGUAAUGCUGCUCUGCCACGUCUCCUGCACCAACACCAGCACCCCACCACCGGAGCAGCGUGCUGCCGAUGCGGCGGCCAAGGAGGCCUGGGGCCGCCCGCUCGUGUCAGACGCAGCGCGGUUCGGCUCUGGCUUCCAUCAGCUCUACCGCACGUGGACAACGCUAGCUGACCCCGCGGCCCUGCGUGACGUGGCGGAGUCAGCGACGCGCCCCGCCGCCUGUGAUGCGCAGUCCCUCUUGGGCGUCGGCCGGACCGUGCCCACCACUGCCAAGCCGCUGCGUCCUCCCUUCUACCCCUGCGACGUCGAAGGCAAGCCAGUGAAGGCGCUCAUGGCCUCCGCCGCCCGCGCCAACGUCAGCGCCGAGUCAGCCUCAGGCGCCUGCCCCAUCUUCGACGCCGAGUCAGGGCGCUACACACCUCCCACGGCUGAUGAGUGUGAGCGCCUGCUGGGCUUCGACGGACCUGUCACAUCGGCGACCGGACUCAGUGAGCAGCAGCGCAAGGCCCUGAUCGCAUCAGCGGCAAACGUCACGCAGCUGGCCAGCAUCAUCGCCAUCAGUCGCGUGCUGGCGGACGAGGUCAACGCUGGUACCCCCGCCAGUGCGGCAGCCCUGGUCACGUGGCGCACACCCGCCGGCGGCCUCGCCAUUCCUCUCACCCGGACCCCUCUGUCGGCCAAUGACACCAUCAUCGCAGCGCUCGCCUCCGCAGCCCUGGAGCCUGAGGCAGCUGCAGAGGCCGCCUCUCCUACGGACGCCUGGUCGGACGACGCCCUGCUGGACUAUCUUCGCACCGGUGCCGUCAACGCCAGCCUGCCCCAGGCUGAACAGCGACGCCUGCGGCGCCGUGCGGCCCGGUACCGCUGGCAAGGCGACCAGCUUCACAUCGUGGGGCUCGACGGCCGCCUGCGGCAGGUGCCGCGCCCUGCCGAGCGGGGUGAGCUGGUGCGGCGCAUGCAUGAGCAGGCAGGACACUUCGGCGUGCGCAGGACCUGCGCGCUCCUGCUGCAUUCACACUGGUGGCGCGGCAUCACGGACGAUGUGCGCAGCGCUGUCAAGCACUGCGAGGCCUGCGACCGCGUCAAGGCCUCCUACUCCAGCCGCCAGUCCGAGCUACACCCAUUGCCCAUCGGAGGACUUUUCUACCGCUGGGGCGUAGAUCUGUGCGGCCCCUUCAACCAGACUCAGCAUGGCAACCGCUACGUGAUGGUCUGCGUGGAGCACUUCAGCAAGUUUGUGCUCCUGGUGCCCAUACCGUCCAAGCACGCCCACGUCACUGCCCUCGCCUUCAAGCAACACGUGCUGGGCGUCUACGGUUCCUGCGCCGAGGUUUGCACAGACCAAGGCAGCGAGUGGAAGGGCGAGUUCGCCACAGUGCUUCUCGACGCUCUCAUCGACCAUCGCCAGACCUCUGCUGAUCAUCCCCAAGCCAACGGUCUCACCGAGAGGGCUGUGCAGACCUGCAAGAAGGCGCUCACCAAGCUGGCGCUCGGCGCCGGCGCUGUGACCGACUGGGACCAACACCUGCCGUCCAUUCAACUUGGCUACAACUGCUCCGCGCAGUACUCCACCAAGCUCAGCCCGUACACCCUCGUCUUUGCCAACGACCCCGUCGUCCCUCCUGCGGUGAGGCCUCGCUUUGACCAGGACCUGGACUUGGAUGACCCCGAGGCAGCGGCACGCUCCGUGCUGCUGCGCGCCGCCGCCCUGCGGCGGCACAUGGCCAUCGCCGGCGGCAACCUGGCAGUGGCGCAGCACCGUGACAAGCUGCGCUACGCCCGGAUGCGCGGCGGCGGCUACGACCCCAAGAUCCGCAAGCUGGAGGUGGGCGACUACGUCUACUAUCGAAACACCAGCGAGCGCACCGCACUGGAAGCCCAGUCGCGGCCUGACAUCCUUCGCGUGUGUGACCUGCGUCAGUCGGGAGUGGUGGUGCUCGAGGGCCGCUGCGGCACGCAGAUCACCACUCACGUCACGCACGUGGCACCCUGCCACCUGCCCAUUGCUGACACCGACACGGAUCCUCGCCUGGCACGCCCGUCUAUCACCCUGUCCUGCGAAGUCUGCAAGAUGCCCGACAACGAGGAGUGGAUGCUGCUGUGCGACGCCUGCGGCACGGGCUGGCACACGUUCUGCCUCAGCCCGCCUUUGGAGGGCAUCCCCGAGGGCUCAUGGGUCUGCCCUACCUGCAGCAGCAAGGGCGUCUCCGCGGACAGCCUUCGCCAGGAGCAGACGCAGCGGCGUGCGGCCACCGCGGUGCCCGCCAAGUUCCAGAAGCUGCAGGGAGCGCUCGCCAUGCGGGCAGCCAAGGGUCGCCGCGCGCGCAGUGCGGCCAACUCAGGCGUGGUCAGCUACGCAGGGCAGCGACGGCGUGUGCACCAGUUCCUUAUUGAGUAUCCCGACGGCAGCAGCGAAGUGGUCACCCACACGCAGCUGCGUCCCCGUCUCGUCUCCCAGCCCAGCUCAGCACUGGCCUCAGCCGUCAGUGCGGCCCCGGCGCUGCCAGCGCUCGUAGGCAACGCGUGGCCCGGGCGGGUCAGCUGCCCCGCGUCCACUGCUUCAGAGCUGGCGGCACUUUCCCAGGUGAUCAACAUUGAGCAUGCCUCGGCUAUCUACGCGCCCUGGAACGUGCCUGACGCGACCGCGGCCUGGCUGCGGGCGCACGGCUGCCACCUGCGGCGCGGCAAGCCUACUCAGGGAGCUGCGGCGGCGUCAGCGGAGUGUCUGCAGCGUGCCAGCGAUGACGGUGUGAAAAUGAAUGUGCUGUGGUGCGAGGCCGAGCCAUUAGUUGUAGAUGCGUGCCUUGACGAGGCCCGAGCGUUUGUUACUGAAGCUAUUAUUGCGCGCAUGCCCCGUGAUUAUGUUGCUACUGCCAGCAAGGCCCGCCUUGCCUGGCUGCGGAAGCGCCAUGCGUGCGGUGACCUGAUCAUUGCUUCGUGCGCGACGUGUGUGUGGCUGAUUUAUUUAGGAAAGGGUGUCAAACGGUGGGGGUUUGUCACCGGCGCGUCCGCCGGCGACCCCGUGCUUUGAUUCAGUUGGCGGUUUCAUCUCCUGGCGCACUAGGCGCACAUGUACUGUGGGUGCCUGCUUCUUCCAGCCCCGGCCUGCAUCUGCGCCGUGGCUGGGGGGGGGGAUAAACAUCAGGGCACGUUCUGUUAGCAUCAGCACGCAUCAGGGCGUGACAGCUGUCACGCCAGGGCGUGGGACCGGACAUGGCGUGGGACCGUGCCGGGAAAGCUGUGAAACCCGGGGUCAGAACCAGUGCGGCUGUCGAGUUGUGAGUCAGCACGUUACUAAGCAGGCACAACUCCCGUGUGCCGAUUACCGUAGCAAUGCUCUGUUUGGCCCUAACUGCCCGUAAGAGCUUGUGUGUUUGAGUGAGCUGGGUUUGUGCUGCUAGGUUAUGCGGAGUGAGGAAGUUGCGUUAUCCGCCAGUCUGACGCGCGGAGGCGGGCGGAAUGAGGCGGAGACAGGUUUAUCCGCCCCGGUAGCUCAAGACAAGUCGUCUUGUCUUGAACUAUCUGGUACUACUUGCUGGUUAGUGAUUUCAGAGACAACGACCAUUCUACAAUACUCGUGGAUAGCACGAAGUGCACAGACAGAGCCGCCUCUGUAACUUUGAGGAGACAAGAACCGAGCACCCUUGAUACGCACAGUAGUCUACGCGCUUAAGAGAGCAGUAAGCCACGUAGCACUCAUAAACAUCAGGGCACGUUCUGUUAGCAUCAGCACGCAUCAGGGCGUGACACUGGACCCACAUAUCCCUCCCCCCCCCGCCUCCUUAGGGGCACCAUCAGAUGGGCCACACAUUGCCACCUGCCAUACCUGCAUCAGCACCCCAACUCCUAGUCCCAGCCUGAUUAUACAAUGCACCAUGUGCCAACACUCCAUACAAAUGCUGGAAACACAAACAGCCAACUGCCCCACAGCCACCUGGACCCACAUAUCCCUCCCCCCCCCCCCCCCCGCCUCCUUAGGGGCACCCACAGGUGGGCCAUGCAUUGCCACCUGCCAUACCUGCAUCGGCACCCCAACUCCUAGUCCCAGCCUGAUUAUUCAAUGCACCAUGUGCCAACACUCUAUACAAAUGCUGGAAACACAAACAGCCAACUGCCCCACAGCCACCUGGACCCACAUAUCCCUCCCCCCCCCGCCUCCUUUGGGGCACCAUCAGGUGGGCCAUGCAUUGCCACCUGCCAUACCUGCAUCGGCACCCCAACUCCUAGUCCCAGCCUGAUUAUACAAUGCACCAUGUGCCAGCACUCUAUACAAAUGCUGGAAACACAAACAGCCAACUGCCCCACAGCCACCUGGACCCACAUAUCCCUCCCCCCCCCCCCCUGCCUCCUUAGGGGCACCCACAGGUGGAUGGGCCACGCAUUGCCAUCUGCCAUACCUGCAUUGGCACCCCAACUCCUAGUCCCAGCCUGAUUAUACAAUGCACCAUGUGCCAGCACUCCAUACAAAUGCUGGAAAUACAAACAGCCUACUGCCCCACAGCCACCUGGACCCACA